rnacentral:lncRNA from 1 species
UGUCAGAAUGGCCCAGAGGCUUCUCUGCUCAGGCAUUAAGCAUUUGGAGACGGAAAUCUCGGCUCCAGUUUCCCUCUGCAGUGGGACUUAGUUCAUCUCAGCCUGAGUUGGUUUCUGCAGCAGCCCAACUCUGUCAAGCUCAAAGUUAAGAAAUUCUGUUAUGCAGUGGCAACAGAGGAGUGGAGGAAUUAAAAAAUAAGAAUCUUGUUCUAUGACCUUCCAGUUAUUAUUGUUUAAUUAUUAUUUUUAUGAGUUUAUAAGUUAUUUUAAGUCAUUUCUUUGUCCUUUCUCAAAAUGUAACAAAAAUUGUCAGCCAUUUUUCCUAAUUGCCUGUAAAUGACAGGCUAUGUCAAGUGAAUGAAAAUUUGAAUUUCUGUUGAGUCAACUGGUCCUUGAGUCACCAUUGUAGUGUUGGACACCGCCUAGUCAAGCUCAGCCUGAAGUAGAAAAUAAAGACCUGCUGGAUUUCUUAUUCUUUUUUUCAAAUCUUCAGAAUUCCUACUACUGAUGAACCUUCCAGGAAAAAAAUGCUUCUGCUGGAAACUUACCCGCCUCCUAAAGACGCUGCUCACCACUACUACUGAAGAGACACACUUGUCAGCCCACAGUUACCUGAAGAUCAUGCACUCUCCAGGUUAGAAGGGACUUUUGAGUACUUAAUAUAGCGAUUCCUAAACCUGGCUUCUCAUCAGAAUUACCCAUGGAGGUUAAAACAAACAAGCAAGAAGAUUCCUCUCUAUCAUGGCCUUCUGAAUAAAAAGCCUCAGAGAGGCACUCGUUUACCUGAGAACUUUAGCAUAUUACAGCAAGGAGAAAGGGAGGAAAUACACAGCAGCAAAAUAAGGAUCAUAAAGCCAGCCUUUGUCACCUGAGAAAGGAGUUUCUCAAUUUCUUAAACGUCAAUAAACGUGUCAAGGCAGCAGUAGAGAGAACUCAGGAGAUGAAGAAAGUCCCAUCCCUGCCACAAACGAAGCAGGGAAAUCGUAUGACUCCCAGUCCUGGGAGAGAGGAAAGGAUGAAGGAGAUGGCAGAAGAGAGGAGGUGUGUGGAAUGCCAAGUAGCAAGGUCCAGACAGGCACGAAGAAAACUAAGAACAUAGAGGCUGGUGGCCCGCCGGUACUGCCCUUAGAUUCCGGCAA